GGCAGUGCCUCCACUUCACCUGAAACAAAAUUAAGAACCACUACUGGCCACUCAGCUCUGCUCAGUACCACUCUUCCUCAGUCUGGAAGUACCUCAGCAACUUCAACUGGUACAUCACAACCAAGUCAUGCUACUACAAGCACUCUUGCAACCUUCAGUUCUUCUACCAGCACAUCUGUUACAUCCAGCAAAAUAACCCCAUGCUUUUGUCAUGUGUUUGAAACUUUAUUUUCUCCCGGGGAAGUGGUAUA